rnacentral:rRNA from 1 species
GGUUAAGCGACUAAGCGUACACGGUGGAUGCCCUGGCAGUCAGAGGCGAUGAAGGACGUGCUAAUCUGCGAUAAGCGUCGGUAAGGUGAUAUGAACCGUUAUAACCGGCGAUUUCCGAAUGGGGAAACCCAGUGUGUUUCGACACACUAUCAUUAACUGAAUCCAUAGGUUAAUGAGGCGAACCGGGGGAACUGAAAA